GAUGAACGCUGGCGGCGUGCCUAACACAUGCAAGUCGAACGAGAUGCGUAUCGGAAAGCUUCGGCCGGAAGAUGCGUUAUCUAGUGGCGGACGGGUGAGUAACACGUGGGUAACCUGCCUUAUGGAGGGGGAUAACAGAGAGAAAUCACUGCUAAUACCGCAUAAGCACACAGUACCGCAUGGUAGAGUGUGAAAAGAUUUAUCGCCAUAAGAUGGACCCGCGUCUGAUUAGCCAGUUGGCAGGGUAAAAGCCUACCAAAGCGACGAUCAGUAGCCGAUCUGAGAGGAUGACCGGCCACAUUGGGACUGAGACACGGCCCAAACUCCUACGGGAGGCAGCAGUGGGGAAUAUUGCACAAUGGGGGAAACCCUGAUGCAGCGACGCCGCGUGAGUGAAGAAGUAUUUCGGUAUGUAAAGCUCUAUCAGCAGGGAAGAUAAUGACAGUACCUGACUAAGAAGCCCCGGCUAACUACGUGCCAGCAGCCGCGGUAAUACGUAGGGGGCAAGCGUUAUCCGGAUUUACUGGGUGUAAAGGGAGCGUAGACGGAGUGGCAAGUCUGAAGUGAAAACCCUGGGCUCAACCUGGGGACUGCUUUGGAAACUGUUAAUCUAGAGUGUUGGAGAGGUAAGUGGAAUUCCUGGUGUAGCGGUGAAAUGCGUAGAUAUCAGGAAGAACACCGGAGGCGAAGGCGGCUUACUGGACAAUAACUGACGUUGAGGCUCGAAAGCGUGGGGAUCAAACAGG
rnacentral:rRNA from 1 species